rnacentral:rRNA from 1 species
AUUGAACGCUGGCGGCAGGCCUAACACAUGCAAGUCGAACGAGUGGCGGACGGGUGAGUAAUGUCUGGGAAACUGCCUGAUGGAGGGGGAUAACUACUGGAAACGGUAGCUAAUACCGCAUACCAUCGGAUGUGCCCAGAGGGGAUUAGCUUGUUGGUGGGGUAACGGCUCACAAAGGCGACGAUCCCUCGCUGGUCUGAGAGGAUGACCAGCCACACUGGAACUGAGACACGGUCCAGACUCCUACGGGAGGCAGCAGUGGGGAAUAUUGCACAAUGGGCUCAAUCCUGAUGCAGCCAUGCCGCGUGUAUGAAGAAGGCCUUCGGGUUUUAAAGUACUUUCAGCGGUGAGGCGUUACCCACAGAAGAAGCACCGGCUAACUCCGUGCCAGCAGCCGCGGUAAUAC